UACAUAUCUCCAUCCAGGCAAGUAAGAGACAUUCUCAUGGUUCAAGAAAACAUUCCAGCCAAACAGAAACAUGGGAGGAGGACAUGGAGCAGGAUCAGUUGAUUGUGUGACCUGGGGAGAGGAAAUGGCCAACUGAUUGAAUGUCCCUCUUUCCUGGUUGAUUGAGUGUCUGGGUUGAUUGAGUCUGAUAUUUUGGCAGUGCCAAUGCUGUACAAUAGGGAUGUGGAACCUAUAGUCCUCCAGAUGUUCCUGGACUACAACUCACAUCAUUUCUGAGUUUUGGCCAUGCUGGCUGGGGUCGAUGGGAGUUGGAGUCCAAAAGUAUCUGGAAGGAACCAGGUUCCUCAUCCCCCUUCUAAGAAGCAUCCCCCCCCUCUCUAGAGGGAAUUACCGUAUUUUUUGCUCUAUAAGACACACUUUCCCCCUCCUAAAAAGUAAGGGAAAAUGUGUGUGCGUCUUAUGGAGCGAAUGCAGGCUGCGCAGCUAUCACAGAAGCCAGAACAGCAAGAGGGAUUGCUGCUUUCACUGCGCAGCGAUCCCUCUUCCUGUUCUGGCUUCUGAGAUUCAGAAUAUUUUUUUUCUUGUUUUCCUCCUCCAAAAACUAGGUGCGUCUUGUGGUCUGGUGCGUCUUAUAGAGUGAAAAAUACGGUAAUAUUCUAGACAUUCCUUCAUCUCUGCCAUACAGUAGGGAGUUCUGCUUCUUAGAGCAGGGGUGAGGAGGCUGUGGCCUCCAGGUGUUGCUGGAUGGCUACUCCCAGAAUCCCUAAUCAUUGGGCGUGUUGUAUGCUGCUGUGAUGGGAGCUUGAGUUCAACACCAUCUGGAGGGACACAGGUUUCCCACUCCUGAUCUAAAGGGAAGAACUGGAACCCGGACUGCAUCACUAACUGCCUGGAACCAGAAAGCCUCCAUACCCACCUCUGUACAUAUCCCCAAUAACAUUGUACCCUUGUUUGGUUUUUAUUUGUAAGCCCCAAUGUGGGUCUAUCUUGACAGCAAAGUAAGGUGUAGAAAAAUGUGGUACAUCUAGAAUUCCAGAUGACAGUAGCUCCUGAAUCAUUGCUGAAUUUGGAAUGGGGAAACCUGGGUGACAUGAGGCAGGUCACUCUCUUCAGCCUAGCUUAAGUAAAAUAAGAACUCCAUGAACGUCUUGGAUACAGGAGUGGAAUAGAAAUGGAACCAAUUAUCACUAGCCCAAAGCAUUCAGAGACCUCUGUAUGCUCUGCUCCUUUGUUGAAAUCAGGCACAUUGCAGACAUAGUCCCCCCACUGCUUAGGGCUUUCCCCCUAUUUAUUUUGUGUAGUUCUCUGAACACUGGUAUCCUCCAAAAUCUGCUGAUGCUACAUUUUGGGGGCUGCCCAGUUGGUGCUCACCCAUUUAUUUAUUGCAUAAGAUUUUUAUACUGCUUGAUUAAAAAAGAACAACAGCCCUCAAAGCUGUUCACAAAAAAGAUGUGCAGUGCCAUUUCUACAAAAUCACUGGCACUCAAAACCUGAACAUUGGAAAUAGAAGGGAUGGCAGGGCCAGCCAAAGACAGUUUGGCACCUGAGUCAAACCACAAAAUGGUGCAAACACCCCUCACCAGUGAAGAAGAGGGGAGUGACGACGCACAUCAGAAACAUGGGGGGAAAUAAAUAAAUAAAGAUAAACAUGUGGGAACGGGGUGGGACGAGACCAGCAUUGCCUCCUAUUCACCAAGAGGUCACUGUAGAGGUGGUAUUGGGAGCAGGGGCUGCCAAGGAGGCAGCAGAUCUGGCCCUCAAGGAAUGGUGUUGCAGCUGACACUGGCACCAUGGCAGCAGCAGAAGCGGGCAAUUUGGCAUUCAUUGGAGGCUGGAUCUGCCACCCCUGUGGAUUCUACUGCUUAAGGUGGCCACCUCACCUUGUCUCAUGGGUGGGCUGGCCCUGAGGGAUAGGGAUGGUGAUGUGUAGUAUUAGUAUGAGCAACUGAGUUCAUUAUGUUGUUGUUUAGUCGUUUAGUCAUGUCUGACUCUUCGUGACCCCAUGGACCAGAGCACGCCAGGCACUUCUGUCCUCCACUGCCUCCCGCAGGGCACCAAGAGUUCAUUAUACUGGCCUUAAUGAAUCAAGAGUGGGGAAGCUUUUUCAUUUCAAGGGCCACAUUCACUUCUGAGCAACCUUCUAGGGGGCCACAUACCGUGGGGGGCAUGGCCAGGGGCAAAAGUAUAUGGGACAAUGAAUACUUAUUUUGCCUUUGUAGAAUAGACUAGUGCUACACACACCUCUCUAUCAUUCCUGCAGGCAAGCAAGAGUUGUCAUCAGAGUUCAAAGGUGUAUUCUAGCCAGGAAAAAACACUUGUGAAGCCAGGCAAAAAUAUGUGAAGUAUGGCUGAAGAAGGGUGUGGUCUGGGGAGAAUGCCUGAAUGCCAGGUAAAAGGGCCUGGAGGGCCACGUUUGGGUGAGGUUCCUCACUCUUGCUAUAAAUUAAUGGGUGGCUUAAUCUUUAGUUUUGUAGCUAGGUGGGGUAAUUUGGGAAUUAAGGAACAAUAGAUCAACACUUUACUUUCUAUUUUGUUCUAGGUACUGUUAUGUGGCAUUUUGGGCUCCAGAGUUUGAGCGAGAUCAUUCUGAGCUACUGAAGCACACUGUGAAUCAGCUUGUUAGGUGACAAAUGGCUGCCCCAGGG